GAAUUGCACACGGAAAUCUAAUGAGGUAUGUAUAAAUAAGAUUUCAAGGUGGUUGAGAAAAGUAUAAUUCAAGUAAACGUCGCAGAGAUUCAAAUCAACAAGUUUUCAUUCUCUAAAAAGUUUCCAUUCGCAAUGGGUUGCCCAAAGUGCUGCAAAGAUUGUAAGUGCCCAGCAGAGAAGUGCGGAUCGGUACAAUGCAAAUGUGACGCUUGCUGCAAUUGCCCAUGCAAAGGAACAGAUACAAAAGAAAAAUGCUGUAAAUAAAGGCGUUGAUGAUGGUGCUCCACCUGUGAAUUGAAGAGACAGAAAAUAGUUUUGGAUAAAAUUAAAAGAAAACGUUGUGUACAAUUUAAAAAAAUAUCUAUUGUUACUAAACUUGGGUAUAAUGGUGACUUUUGGUAUGAAUACCACACUUAACGGUUAAUUUUAGGUGAUUGCCAGAAUAAAUUAUGCAAAAUGCGAAAAUAUUGAAUUAUGAAAUCUCAUCUAAUGCAUAGUUUUGAUUCCGCAGAGGACUUAAUUUUAA